GAUGAACGCUGGCGGCGUGCCUAAUACAUGCAAGUCGAGCGAACGGACGAGAAGCUUGCUUCUCUGAUGUUAGCGGCGGACGGGUGAGUAACACAUGGAUAACCUACCUAUAAGACUGGGAUAACUUCGGGAAACCGGAGCUAAUACCGGAUAAUAUUGUGAACCGCAGGGUUCAAAAGUGAAAGACGGUCUUGCUGUCACUUAUAGAUGGAUCCGCGCUGCAUUAGCUAGUUGGUAAGGUAACGGCGUACCAAGGCAACGAUGCAUAGCCGACCUGAGAGGGUGAUCGGCCACACUGGAACUGAGACACGGUCCAGACUCCUACGGGAGGCAGCAGUAGGGAAUCUUCCGCAAUGGGCGAAAGCCUGACGGAGCAACGCCGCGUGAGUGAUGAAGGUCUUCGGAUCGUAAAACUCUGUUAUUAGGGAAGAACAUAUGUGUAAGUAACUGUGCACAUCUUGACGGUACCUACUCAGAAAGCCACGGCUAACUACGUG
rnacentral:rRNA from 1 species